GGAGGGACUGUGGCUCAGUGGUAGAGCAUCUGCUUGACAUGCAGAAGGCCCCAAGGUUCAGACCCUGGCAUCUCCA